rnacentral:tRNA from 1 species
GAGCCUAUAGCCUAGCCUGGAUAGGGCGACAGCCUUCUAAGCUGUAGAUCGAGGGUUCGAAUCCCUCCAGGUUCA